rnacentral:rRNA from 1 species
CGACUCCAUGAAGGCGGAAUCGCUAGUAAUCGCAGAUCAGCACGCUGCGGUGAAUACGUUCCCGGGCCUUGUACACACCGCCCGUCACACCAUGGGAGUCGAUUGCUCCAGAAGUCAUCUCACCAAGGGAUGCCCAAGGAGUGCUCGGUAACUGGGGUGAAGUCGUAACAAGGUAGCCGUAGGGGAACCUGCGGCUGGAUCACCUCCUUUCUAAG